GAUGAACGCUAGCGGCAGGCCUAAUACAUGCAAGUCGAACGAUACCAGAGAGCUUGCUUUCUGGGAAAGUGGCGCACGGGUGCGUAACGCGUAUGCAACCUACCUUAAUCAGGGGGAUAGCCUCUCGAAAGAGAGAUUAACACCGCAUAACAUCAUUUUACGGCAUCGUAGAAUGAUCAAAUAUUUAUAGGAUUAAGAUGGGCAUGCGUGACAUUAGCUAGUUGGUGAGGUAACGGCUCACCAAGGCUACGAUGUCUAGGGGAUCUGAGAGGGGGUACCCCCACACUGGUAAUAAGACACGGACCAGACUCCUACGGGAGGCAGCAGUAAGGAAUAUUAGUCAAUGGAGGCAACUCCGAACCAGCCAUGCCGCGUGCAGGAAGGCGGCCCUAUGGGUUGUAAACUGCUUUUAUACGGGAAUAAACCUCUCUACGUGUAGGGAGUUGAAUGUACUGUAAGAAUAAGGAUCGGCUAACUCCGUGCCAGCCGCCGCAGUAA
rnacentral:rRNA from 1 species